rnacentral:rRNA from 1 species
UACGGGGGGGCAAGCGUUGUUCGGAAUUACUGGGCGUAAAGGCUCGUAGGCGGCCAACUAAGUCAGACGUGAAAUCCCUCGGCUUAACCGGGGAACUGCGUCUGAUACUGGAUGGCUUGAGUUUGGGAGAGGGAUGCGGAAUUCCAGGUGUAGCGGUGGAAAUGCGUAGAUAUCUGGAGGAACACCGGUGGCGAAGGCGGCAUCCUGGACCGA